rnacentral:rRNA from 1 species
GGCGCAUAAGUAACAGGUCGUAGACCCGAAACCAGGUGAUCUACCCAUGUCCAGGAUGAAGGUAAGGUAAUACUUACUGGAGGUCCGAACCCACGCACGUUGAAAAGUGCGGGGAUGAGGUGUGGGUAGCGGAGAAAUUCCAAUCGAACUUGGAGAUAGCUGGUUCUCUCCGAAAUAGCUUUAGGGCUAGCCUCGAGGUAAAGAGUCAUGGAGGUAGAGCACUGUUUGGACUAGGGGCCCUUCUCGGGUUACCGAAUUCAGAUAAACUCCGAAUGCCAUGUACUUAUACUCGGGAGUCAGACUGCGAGUGAUAAGAUCCGUAGUCGAAAGGGAAACAGCCCAGACCACCAGUUAAGGUCCCCAAAUAUAUGUUAAGUGGAAAAGGAUGUGGGGUUGCUUAGACAACCAGGAUGUUGGCUUAGAAGCAGCCACCAUUGAAAGAGUGCGUAAUAGCUCACUGGUCGAGUGACCCCGCGCCGAAAAUGUACCGGGGCUAAACAUAUUACCGAAACUGUGGAUGAACCUCUUUAGAGGUUCGUGGUAGGAGAGCGUUCUAAGGGCGGUGAAGUCAGACCGGAAGGACUGGUGGAGCGCUUAGAAGUGAGAAUGCCGGUAUGAGUAGCGAAAGAAGGGUGAGAAUCCCUUCCACCGAAUAUCUAAGGUUUCCUGAGGAAGGCUCGUCCGCUC